GACGAACGCUGGCGGCGUGCCUAAUACAUGCAAGUCGAACGCUGAAGGAGGAGCUUGCCCUUCUGGAUGAGUUGCGAACGGGUGAGUAACGCGUAGGUAACCUGCCUGGUAGCGGGGGAUAACUAUUGGAAACGAUAGCUAAUACCGCAUAACAGUAGAUGUUGCAUGACAUUUACUUAAAAGGUGCAAUUUCAUCACUACCAGAUGGACCUGCGUUGUAUUAGCUAGUUGGUGGGGUAACGGCUCACCACGGCGACGAUACAUAGCCGACCUGAGAGGGGGAUCGGCCACACUGGGACUGAGACACGGCCCAGACUCCUACGGGAGGCAGCAGGAGGGAAUCUUCGGCAAUGGACGGAAGUCUGAACGAGCAACGCCGCGUGAGUGAAGAAGGGUUUCGGAUCGUAAAGCUCUGUUGUAAGAGAAGAACGAGAGUGAGAGUGGAAAGUUCACACUGUGACGGUAUCUUACCAGAAAGGGACGGCUAACUACGUG
rnacentral:rRNA from 1 species